UGUUUAUUUCCUACAAAUUGCAGAACAUCUGGAGCUCAGCUUCUCCCAUAGAUCUACCAUUGCUCCAUUCUGAGAUACUAAAAGAGAUGAUUUCUCAUACCUAUGAUGUGAAACAAUCCGGGAUGAAAGGAAGUGAAAGUUUUGAAGGUCACAGCCUGGAUGAAAUAGCCUGGUCAGAUUUGAAAGUGAGAGGGGAAAUGGAGGCUGCUGUAUCAAGACAGACUAAAACUAGGAUGUUUUCUUUAAUUGGAAAAAAGACACAGACUAAGAAGGAAUAAAGAUCACUCAUUCAUUCAUCUAAAAACCAUUUCUUAAGUACCUAGUAGAUGCCUAGUACUGUCCUGGCUGCUACAGAUACAAGAACAAAAAAAUACAGGCUUUAUUCUUAAGGAAUUUACAUUUUUGGGGUAGAAGAAAACACGUGCAGAAAAUUUUAAAAUGCAUAAUAUAAUCACAGUAAAGAAUGAAGGGAAUAGAGAAGGUGAACACAACAAUAAAAACUAGCACUAUUGGCUCUUGCAUCAACACACUAAUAAUCUCUGUUACCACCACACAGGUGCACAUACAUCCAUGAGCCUUGAAAGAAGUCUUCAUAGAUGAUUAGAGAUGGAAUGGAUUUAGGGUCCCAUCUAGCCCAGUCUCCUCAUUUUACAGAAUGGAAAGCAAA